GCCUAAGAGUGCGAAGAAAGCAGGUUAGAAGCUGGCCAUAUAUGCUAGAUAGGUUUGAGCUGAACCAGAAGAUUUUGAAGACCAUCUAACGUGCAAGAAUGACUCCAUUGAUCAACGUCACGGCGGUCACAUAACAGGAUGUUUUCUGCACACGAAAAUAAAGACUAAGCGCAGACUAAGCACAGCAGCAGGCCAUGGAGCAUUGGCGCACAAGUCAUGUACAUGCCUAUGGAAUUUGCCUUUAUUGGGAGACAGUACGCAGUGUGCCUGCAUGUCCUUCAAGUAGACAACACAGACGGGUCUCCUUGGUGCCUUCAAAACCGGUCUGAACAGUCAGGGCCUAAACUAAGACUGCCGGGGUCCCCCUUGUGAUAUUGACAGCAGAGGUUCCAAGACUUCCACACUGUACCCCAAAAUGGUGCCAACAAAAACUGCCGGUCGUCUGGCACAAUAUAGACCAUCAUACAGCUCCAUGGAUAGAAAAUAAAAAUAUUAUGAC